CUGGUUGAUCCUGCCAUUAGUCAUAUGCUUGUCUCAAAGAUUAAGCCAUGCAUGUCUCAGUGCAUGCCGAAUUAAGGUGAAACCGCGAAUGGCUCAUUAAAUCAGUUAUGGUUCCUUAGAUCGUACCCACAUUUACUUGGAUAACUGUGGUAAUUCUAGAGCUAAUACAUGCAAACCAGAGUUCCGACCAGAGAUGGAAGGAACGCUUUUAUUAGAUCAAAACCAAUCGGUGGCGGGUUCACUCGUCCACCGUUUACCUUGGUGACUCUGAAUAACUUUGUGCUGAUCGCACGGUCUCGCACCGGCGACGCAUCUUUCAAAUGUCUGCCUUAUCAACUGUCGAUGGUAGGUUCUGCGCCUACCAUGGUUGUAACGGGUAACGGGGAAUCAGGGUUCGAUUCCGGANAACAUCGAGUGAGCGCGCGAUCGGCUGCUGAACGGAUAAUGAGAGAAAGAAGGAAAGCACACGCG
rnacentral:ncRNA from 1 species